CUAGCUGGAGUGGGUACUCUUUUAAUUUGCAGUCAUUAAAAAAAAAAAAAAUUUCCUAGCAACUAAAUGCAUUUACACAUUUAUUUCAUUUAAUAUCUAGUUCUGUGUUCUUCCAUAGAUUUCAAAUAUUAAGUAUUAUGCUUUUAGACUCAUAAACCAUGCUAGUUAACCAAGAAAUGAGCUGAUUAGAUGACUUACAUGUAACUAAAUUAUCUUUAAAAAAUGCAUCUUCUUAUCUCUAUAGUAAAACUUGUCUUCUCUGUCAAUUGCUUUGAUGAAUUGAAUGGUAGCUAUUCACUCACUGGUAUAUUUAAUAACAAGACUAAAACCUGAAAUCUAAGGGUUCAGAUAUGGCUUCAGGUGAGACAAAUCAAGAGUUCUGGAGUAUUUGGAAGCCCCAAAACAAAAAAAAUCACAGUCAAAGUACAUAUCGAUCUUAACGAAUUUCUUGAACAGGCAGAUCAAAAGCCAUUGAUGACUUCUGAUUAACCAGAGGUUGAAAGUGAAGCAGAGGGUGACCAUAGACUUCGUUUUUGGAGACUUUUAAAGUAGCUUUGGAAGUCAUGCUUGCAUAAUGCUGACAUACACAGAUACAUAUAAUCAUAAAUAAAAGUCAUAUAUGCAACUAAAGUUGGGCACCUAUAAAAACUAUCACUGGAUGAACUAUGUUGAUAUUGCCAUUCCUGGAGUUGAAAAUGCUACUCCAUCAUAUUACAAUUCUUUAGGAAAAAUAUCUUCUUGUUCUUGUGUGCUUUUAAAUUUAUCUUUCAGUUUUUAAUUGUAGCUUGGAUUUUGUUUAGUCUGUAUGACAUCAAAACUGCAGGUGGUUCUAAAAUUAUCAAUCUCUGUUUCUCUUUUAAGGAUAUAACUGCUUAGCUCUUUCCUUGAAUGAUACAUGAACCUAAUCCAAGUACAUCAAAUAUCUUGCCUUGCUAGUCGAUUAAAAAAGGGUGUAGGGUUUGUGAUACCCAAGAAUGGCAAUAUGGCCUAUCGGUCUAGAGCAAUCAUGUCCACUUAGGUCUGGAUAACCACCAAACCUUUUGAAAACCACUAAACUUGCUUCAUGGAUUUGGUGAAACUUUCUCAAGGAUAUCAAUCAUUAAGCAGUUCCUUUUUCUUUGCAUGUUAACAUAAAAGAUAGUCUUUGUACAGGGACCUAACCUAACUAAGUGACACAAAACUUCAUAUAUUAGGUUAUCACUUAGCAUUUUAGCUUCUGGGUUUCCUUUCCUAUAAUUUAUUUGAAUUGCAUGGUUUGCUUUGGUGACUGUUUGAUAUUGCAUCAAGUUUUUUUUUUUUUUUUCUGUUCUUGGUUCUGUAAAGGCUUGUUUAUUGCUUGCACUAACUCGUGGGAUGUCACCAUCAUAUAGUGUGGCUGUCAGUUCAACAUGUGAAGGCUGAUCGGGAUGCAGAGUCUAUGGAGUUGGCAGAAGACACUUACCCUGGUGAUAUUGUCCUAACUUCUCAAGUCACAUUUGAUAGGUUGUGGUCAUUAAUAGUGUCGUAUUGGUUACAAUAUAAUGUCAUCGCAGUAUAUCCUUGUAGCAGUCAUUAAACUCUUACCAGGCUCUGUUUCUAUCUCUAGGGAAAUAAGAGGAAAAAGUUGGUGAAUGAUUAGUAUGUUCGCAAAAGCUGCCACAUACCUUAGUAGUAAGAUUUAGAUAAUUGAUGAGGAUAUGAAUCUUUAUUUUUUGGUUGAAGUGUCAUCACAUGUAUUAGCAUUUCUCUUCUCCUUUAAGAUGGCAUCUAAAUUUGUCCAAAAUCAUUCCACAUUUCUACAUGAAAAUUUCAGGUCCCAGUAAGUGGCCAAUAUCAAAUCAUAUAAUGUUAAGAUUAGCUGUAUUGGCAUCAAAUACACGAGGAUCUGUUCAGUUACUGACUUAGCCGAGAUCACUUGAGAAUAUAGUGCAAUCCAAGUCAGCACGCAGAUCGUAAUGGUGCCCAUCAAGAUCGUAUGAAUACAACGGAACACCUACAACCUUACCGGAGGAACUUCCUGCUUGAGGAAGCCGAUGCUUCGAUCAGGAUGAGACAAUUAAAGCAGGAUAAUCAUGUUGUGCCGAAGGAACAUGUCAGAAGAUUGGACGUCGGGCCGGUGGAUCAGUCGACAUAUCGACAGAAGGCUUCGGGCCGUAAACUCGGGCAUCGGGCCAAGAAGAGCGGGUAUUGUGCCAAGGAUAUCGGAGUUGCGGAGUCAACUGGCCGAUUGGGCAAUAGGCUGCACGAGAGGACGAUGCGCCGAAGAAUCGGACGAAGCGUCGAGGGACCAAUGACAUGUCGGACAACUUGGUUAAUUGCUUAGGAUUAAUUGUCUCGA